rnacentral:lncRNA from 1 species
UUUUUUUAUUUUUUCAAAUGUGUUUUUGGCUUUUUAAAUGGUUUUUUGGGGUUUUUUUCGAUGUUUUGAUUUUCCACCGGUCUUCUUUAGGAUUUCGAUAUUUAAAAAAAUGCACGAAAAAAUGCGUUUUCUUUUUUUUUCUUUCGCGAGAGUUACGGUUUUGCUUCCGCGAGAGGCACGGUUUUGCUUUCGCAAGAGUCAUCUCCGUGCCUCUCAAAAACAAAAAAAAAUGCAUUUUCUGCGCUUUUUUCCUUUUGCGAGAGCCACGGUUGUGCUUCCUCAAGAGGCACGGGUGUGCUUCGCGAGAGUCACGGCCGUGCCUCUCGGAAAGGAAAAAAACAUGUUUUCUGUUUUUUUUCCUUUCACGAGAGUCACGGUUAUGUUUCCGCGAGAGGCACGGUUGUGCUUUAGCGAGAGUCACGGUCGUGUCUCUCGGAAACGAAAAAAAACAUGUUUUCUAAUUUUUUUUCUUUGCGAGUCAUGGUUUUGCUUCCACGAGAGGCAUGGUUGUGCUUUCACGAGUCACGCCCUUGCCUCUCGGAAACGAAAUAAAAACAUGUUUUCUGUUUUUUUUUCCUUUCGCGAGAGUCACGAUUUUGUUUCCGCGAGAGGCACGAUUGUGUUUUCGCGAGAGUCAUGGCCGUGCCUCCUCGGAAACGGGAAAAAACGCGUUUUCUCUUUUUAUUUUCUUCCGCGAGAGUCACGGUUUUGUUUCCGCGAGAGGCACGGCUGUGAUUUCGUGAGAGAUACGGGUGUGCCUCUUUCGGAAAGGGAAAAACCCGUGCUCCCAGUUCAAUUUUUUUCGUCCGGCUUUUUUCGUGAAAAAAAGUUCGUCAAAACCUAUCAACAUGGGAUCUAGUUUUGAAGAUGUCAACAUGAGGAAUCCAACGGUGAAAGUGGUUCGAGAUUUGAACGCACGGUUUAAGAGAUAAAAUGUUUUGAAUAAACGGAUCUACGAAAAGAGGGAAAACUAUGACAGGUGGCACGUUGCAUGUGCGCCACUUGUCGCAAUCAGGGGAGUUGAAGUGAUCUUUGCAACAAGUACUCUUCAACUAGUGAUUUCGCCCAGUAUCUAGUUUGUUUCUUUCUUCACUCGGUUUCGUUUUAUUUUUCAUUUUCUUGUUUAUAAUUUCAUUUAUAUUUUCGUAACAUUCUAAAAACAUAUAUUUCAGAAACAUUGCAUGUGACAAUUAAAAAACAUAUAGUUAAAAAACGUUCGUGACGUUUUGUAAAAAUGUUUGUAACAAAUGUAAAAAAUGUCCGCAUAAUUUAAUCAAUUUUUAUUGCCAUAAAUAAAUCACCGUGUAUCUGAAAAAUGUUCAAAAGAUGUAUUUAAGAAAACUGCUCUUUUUCGAAACAAGGGAGAGGGGUGGAGUGCUGCGGUUCUUCACAAGCACAAUGGCUUAUUCCAAGCAAGGCCUGCCAUUUGUUUCCCCAACAUCUCUAAUCCUUAACAUGCUGACCCGUUGGCAUGUCAGCGAGGCCUACAAUUGUCUGCAGAAGUUGGGGAGGAGAGAAUCAUACUGGAGACAGACAACCAACUGGUGGCUAAAGUUCUCGUAUCACUAGAGGUCGACCGUUCGAGAUAUGGUCCUCUCAUCAAAGAAAUUAAGGUUCUACUCGGCGGUGCCGUGGAGUGGAAGAUGGUUUGGGCUAGACAUACAGCUAACAAGGCUGCUCAUUUACUUGCGAGGGAUGACUGACUAAUUAAGUUAUGUAUAAGACUUGGCUUAAUGUUGCCCUGUUGUGUUGUGUAUCAGUGACCCCGCCGAAGAGUUUGCCCCUCAAAAAAGGAGUAAAAAGAAAAAUAUACUUUGUGUAUUUGGGAGAUGUUGGAUGACCCACAAGUAUAGAGAAUCUAUCGUAGUUCUUUUGAUAAGUAAGAUUGUCGAACCUAAUAAGGAGCAGAAGAAAAUGACAAGUGGUUUUCAAUACGAUAUUCUCUGCAAGCACUGAAAUUAUCGGUAACAGAUAGUUUUGUGAUAAAAUAAUUCGUAACGGGUAAUAAGUAAAUAAAGUAACUAAGGUGCGGCAAGGUGGCCUAAUCCUUUUUUUAGCAGAGGAAAAGCCUGGACAAACUCUUAUAUAAAGCAAAGCGCUCCCGAAAACACAUGUGAAUUAUUGUCAACUUAGCUUUCAUCAUGCUCAUUGAUUUGCGUUAGUUACUUUGAUAUUUCGAUAUGUGGGUGGACCGGUGCUUGGGUCCUUCCCUUCCUUGGACAAGCCUCCCACUUAUGAUUAACUCCUCUCGCAAGCAUCCGCAAUUAUGAAAGAAGAAUUAAGGUAAACCUAACCAUAAAAUGAAACAUAUGGGUCCAAAUCAGCCCCUUACGAAGCAACACAUAAACUAGGGUUUAAGCUUAUGUCACUCUAACAACCCAUCAUCUACUUAUUACUUUCCAAUGUGUGACGCCCCCGAUUCAAUCGUACACUAAUCAUGCACGCAAACGUGUACGAUCAAGAUCAGGGACUCACGGGAAGAUAUCACAACACAACUCUAAAACAUAAAUAAGUCAUACAAGCAUCAUAAUACAAGCCAGGGGCCUCGAGGGCUCGAAUACAAGUGCUCGAUCAUAGACGAGUCAGCGGAAGCAACAAUAUCUGAGUACAGACAUAAGUUAAACAAGUUUGCCUUAAGAAGGCUAGCACAAACUGGGAUACAGAUCGAAAGAGGCGCAGGCCUCCUGCCUGGGAUCCUCCUAACUACUCCUGGUCGUCGUCAGCGGCCUGCACGUAGUAGGCACCUCCAGUAUACUAGUCGUCGUCGACGGUGGCGUCUGGCUCCUGGACUCCAGCAUCUGGUUGCGACAACCAGAAAGAAGGGAAAGGGGAAAAAGGGGGGAGAAAGCAACCGUGAGUACUCAUCCAAAGUACUCGCAAGCAAGGAACUACACUACAUAUGCAUGGGUAUAUGUGUAAGGAGGCCAUAUCAGUGGACUGAACUGCAGAAUGCCAGAAUAAGAGGGGGAUAGCUAAUCCUGUCGAAGACUACGCUUCUGGCAGCCUCCGUCUUGCAGCAUGUAGAAGAGAGUAGAUUGAAGUCCUCCAAGUAGCAUCUCCAAGUAGCAUAUCCAGGUAGCAUCUCCAAGCGCAUCUCCAGUCGCAUCGCAUAGCAUAAUCCUACCCGGCGAUCCUCUCCUCGUCGCCCUGUAGAAAAGCGAUCACCGGGUUGUCUGUGGAACUUGGAAGGGUGUGUUUUAUUAAGUAUCCGGUUCUAGUUGUCAUAAGGUCAAGGUACAACUCCAAGUCGUCCUGUUACCGAAGAUCACGGCUAUUCGAAUAGAUUAACUUCCCUGCAGGGGUGCACCACAUAGCCCAACACGCUCGAUCCCAUUUGGCCGGACACACUUUCCUGGGUCAUGCCCGGCCUCGGAAGAUCAACACGUCGCAGCCCCACCUAGGCAAAACAGAGAGGCCAGCACGCCGGUCUAAACCUAAGCGCACAGGGGUCUGGGCCCAUCGCCCAUAGCACACCUGCACGUUGCGAGGGCGGCCGGAAGCAGAACUAGCCCCCUUAAUACAAGAGCAGGCUUACGUUCCAAUCCGGCGCGCGCCGCUCCGUCGCUGACGUCUGAAGUGCUUCGGCUGAUACCACGACGCCGGGAUACCCAUAACUACUCCCGCGUAGAUGGUUAGUGUGUAUAGGCCAGUAGCCAGACUCAGAUCAAAUACCAAGAUCUCGUUAAGCGUGUUAAGUAUCCGCGAAUGCCGAACAAGGCCAGGCCCACCUGUCUCCUAGGUGGUCUCAACCUGCCCUGUCGCUCCGCCACAAAGUAACAGUCGGGGACCGUCGGGAACCCAGGCCCACCUCUACCGGGAUGGAGCCACCUGCCCCUUCAGCCCCCAUCUCCGAAUAGUAUCACAGGUAAUGUAACUGUGUAAAGUAUAUAGUAUAUGCCCGUGAUCACCUCCCGAAGUGAUCACGGCCCAGUAGUAUAGCAUGGCAGACGGACAAGAGUGUAGGGUCACUGCUGGAACACUAGCAUCCUAUACUAAGCAUUUAGGAUUGCGGGUAAGGUAUCAAUGACUGUAGCAGCAAUGACAGGCUAUGCAACAGAAUAGGAUUAACGGAAAGCAGUAACAUGCUACACUACUCUAAUGCAAGCAGUAUAGAAGAGAAUAGGCGAUAUCUGGUGAUCAAGGGGGGGGGGGGCUUGCCUGGUUGCUCUGGCAAGAGAGAGGGGUCGUCAACUCCGUAGUCGAUCACAGGGGUACCGGCAGCGGUCUCGGGGUCUACCGGAAAAAGUAUCGAAGGGGGGAACACAAUAAAUAACAGAGCAAUCAAAUGUAAUACAAAGCAAGACGCGGCAAUACGUUGUGCUAGGUGUGCCCUAACGCGGUAGGUGGUGAUACCGACGAAGGGGGGAAACAUCCGGGAAAGUAUCCCCGGUGUUUCGUGUUUUCGAGCACAGGAGCCGGAGGGGGAAAGUUGCGAGUUUGAUAGGUUAGGGAUGCGUGGCGGACGAACGGGCUGCGUUUCUGGGUUCGUCUCGUCGUUCUGAGCAACUUUCAUGUAGAAAGUAUUUUCAUCUGAGCUACGGUUUAUUUUCUAUUAAUUUUAAAAGAUUUAAAUCAUUUUCAGGAUUUAUUUAAUUAUUUUAAUGCAACAUUAUCCAGAAUAGUGCUUGCUGAUGUCAGCAUGAUGUCAUCAGUCAACAGAGGUGUUGACUGGGUCAAGCUGACGCGUGGGUCCCGCAUGUCAUUGACUAUUUUAGUUAAUUAAGUUAAUCAGUUAAUUAGGUUAAUUAAUCUUAAUUAGUUACUUUAAAAAGAAUUAAUUAAGUUAAUUAUUUAGUUAAUUAAUUAAUUAAUAUUUAAUUUUAUCUAUCUAUUUACUUAUUUAUUUAUUUAUUUUAAUUCUCUUUUUUUAAUAACGUUUCAGGGGGGUGGGGCCCGUUUGGCACUGGCACAGAGGCCUUAGCGGGGCGGGCGCUGGGUGCGGGUGCGUGGGCGCUUGCCCGGGAUUACAGGGGGCGCCAGCCAGGGGUGAGGCCACGACGACGGCCGGAGGGGCCGCAGCCACGGCGAGGUCGGCCGGGCUGCGAGCGGCGCCAGCGAGGCGACGGAGCGGUGGACGGGGCCGGCAGCGGGCCGGAGCGGCAGGGAAGAGCGGGAUGAGCGCCGUGCGGGGCCGCGGUCGUGGUCGGGGCGGCCAUGGCGACCGCGACGACGAGCGGGGGAAAGGGGAGGAUGAACGGGUCCUCACCAGCGGUGGUGAGCAGGGAGGCGUCGAGGCGCGUGGAGGCCGUUCGGGGAGGAGGACGGGGACGACGGCGUCGGAGACGAGGCAGGCCGUCGAGGGAGGAAGGCGGGGCCGGUCCAGCGGGGUGGCAUGGUCGAGGCGGCGUUCCGGCCGACGGCGGGGGAACGAGGUCGGUGUCGUCCGGCGAGGCAGCACCCGCGACGGCGUCGGCACCGCGGCGUUGAGGCGAGGAGGCGGACGGGGACGGCGCUCCGUCGAGGAGAGAGAUGAGGAGGCGAGGAGGCAGGCCGGCGUGGUGGCUCCGACGAGGUCGAAGCGGCGGCGGUGAUGGUGCUCCAGGGACGAUAGGCGACGCGGUCGGCGGGUCGAUGGAGUCGGGGCGGGUCGUUCCCCCGAUCCCGAUCUGGAUCGGGGAAGGGGAGAGAGAUGUGGGGAUCGUNNNNNNNNNNNNNNNNNNNNNNNNNNNNNNNNNNNGAUUUGCAUUCCUUUUCUUAUUUUCUUUUCUGUUUUAUUUAUUUUAGUUAGCAAAACAGCUUUACAAAAAUAUAACCCCUACUCCUAAAUUAGCAUAAUAACAUAGGCCACCUACUCCAAAAAGUUUGGUGAUUAUAUAAACUAGAUUAACAUCUGUUUAGUAUUUAAAAGCAUUUAACUAAUUGUCUUGCUGCUGUUUUACUUACUAUAGUGCAUUUAAAUACUUUACACAAGUGUGGUUUCUUCACCAAUAUUUAAUAUGGAUUAUCUGGCUUACUCCGAACAUUUUUGUUUUAAUAUUUGAAAACUUUUAUUGUUGCCUGAUUUUGAAUUUGAAUUUGAAUCGGUUUCGAACUAACUCGAGAUUAGCCACCGUGAUCAAAGUGACAUGGCAUCAUUAGCAGAGAAUUACUGUAGCUUAAUUAUCCGGGCGUCACACAAUGCCUUCCCCUAGGCCCAAAUAAUGGUGAAGUGUCAUGUAGUCGACGUACACAUAACAUCACUAGAGGAGAGAUAGCAUACAUCUCAUUAAAACAUCAAACGUAUACCAAAUUCACAUGAUUACUUAUAACAAGACUUCUCCCAUGUCCUCAGGAAAAAUCGUAACUACUCACAAAAGAUAAUCAUAAUCAUAAUCAGAGAAGUAUUAAUUAUCAUUAAGGAUCUGAGAAUAUAAUCUUCCACCUGAUAAACCAACUAGCAUCAACUACAAAGAAUAAUCAACACUACUAGCAACCCACAGGUACCAAUCUGAGGUUUUGGGACCAAGAUCGAAUACAAGAGAUGAACUAGGGUUUGAGAGGAAAUGGUGCUGGUGAAGAUAUUGAUGGAGAUUGACCCCUUCUCGAUGAGAGGAUCUACGGUGAUGACGAUGGCGACGAUUUCCCCCUCCUAGAGGGAUGUUUCCCUGGCAGGACAGCUCCGCCUGAGCCCUAGAUUGGUUCUGCCCGGGUUCCGCCUCGAGACGGCGGCGCUUCAUCCCGAAAGCCUCCUUCUAUUUUUUCCAGGUCAAAACAUGGCAUAUAGCCAAAGAUGGGCACCGAAGGCCUGCCAUGGGGCCCACAAAGUCGGGGGGCGCGCCCUCCACCCUUGUGGCUGGCUGGUGGCCCCCCUCUAGUACUUUCUUCGUCCAAUAUUUUUAUAUAUUUCAAAAAUAAGUUCCGUGAAGUUUCAGGACUUUUGCAGUAAUGCAGAAUAGGUCUUUAAUAUUUGCUCAUUUUCGAGUCCAGAAUUCCAGCUGCCGGUAUUCUCCCUCUUCAUAUAAACCUUAUAAAAUAAAAAAGAAAAGACAUAAAUAUUAUGAUAUAAUGUGUAAUAACAGUACAUAAUGCAAUAAAUAUCAAUAUUAAAGCAUGAUGCAAAAUGAACGUAUCAAUGUUUAACGUGUAUCACAAAAAUGUUUCACGUAUACACUAUAAAUGUACAUUAUCUAUUGAAAAAAUAGUAAUGAAGGCGAAAAAACCUAGAAAAUCAAAUAAAAUGAUGAAAAACGACAAAAAAUAAAAAGGAAAAAAGGGCUAAACCGAUGAUGAAACAAAGAAAUGAAAGAAGGAAAUCAAAGAAAAACAACAAAUGACGCAUCGGGAGAACACUGCAGGUGAGACGUAAAAUGGGUCGGCCCAGAAAUGACACAUUGCCACCUCUUUUAGCGCUGUGUUGGUUUUCCCCGAAGAGGAAGGGAUGAUGCAGCAAAGUAGCAUAAGUAUUUUUCUCAGCUUUUGAGAACCAAUGUAUCAAUCCAGUAGGAGGCUACGCGUGAGUCCCUCGUACCUGCAUAAAACAAAUAAAUCAUCGCAACCAGCGCAAAUAGGGGUUGUCAAUCCAUAUAGGGCCACUUACGAGAGUGAGAUCUGAUAGAUAUGAUAAGAUAAUAUUUUUGGUAUUUUUAUGAUAAAGAUGCAAAGUAAAAUAAAGGCAAAGUAAAUAACUAAGUAGUAGGAGAUUAAUAUGAUAAAGAUAGACCCGGGGCCAUAUGUUUCACUAGUGGCUUCUCUCGAGAGCAUAAGUAUUCUACGAUGGGUGAACAAAUUACUAUUGAGCAAUUGACAGAAUUGAGCAUAGUUAUGAUAAUAUCUAGGUAUGAUCAUGUAUAUAGGCAUCACAUCCGAGACAAGUAGACCGACUCCUGCCUGCAUCUACUACUAUUACUCCACUCAUCGACCGCUAUCCAGCAUGCAUCUAGAAUAUUAAGUUAAAAACAGAGUAACAUCUUAAGCAAGAUGACAUGAUGUAGAGGGAUAGACUCAUGCAAUAUGAAGAAAACCCCAUCUUGUUAUCCUCGAUGGCAACAAUACAAUACAUGCCUUGCUGCCCUUACUAUCACCGGGAAAGGACACCGCAAGAUUGAAACCAAAGCUAAGCACUUCUCCCAUUGCAAGAAAGAUCAAUCUAGUAGGCCAAAUCAAACUGAUAAUUCGAAGAGGCUUGCAAAGAUAACCAAUCAUACAUAAAAGAAUUCAGAGAAGAUUCAAAUAUUAUUCAUAGAUAGACUUGAUCAUAAACCCACAAUUCAUCGGUCUCAAUAAACACACCGCAAAAAGAAGAUUACAGCGAAUAGAUCUCCACAAAAGAGGGGGAGAACAUUGUAUUGAGAUCCAAAAAGAAAGAAAAAGCCAUCUAGCUACUAACUAUGGACCCAUAGGUCUGAAGUAAACUACUCAUACUUCAUCGGAGAGGCUAUGAUGUUGAUGUAGAAGCCCUCCGUGAUCGAUGCCCCCUCCGGUGGAGCUCCGGAACAGGCCCCAAGAUGGGAUCUCGUGGAUACAGAAAGUUACGGCGGUGGAAUUAGGGUUUUGGCUCAUGUUCUGAUCAUUUGGGGGUACGUGGAUAUAUAUAGGAGGAAGAAGUACGUCGGUGGAGCAACAGGGGCCCCACGAGGGCGGAGGGCGCGCCUGGGGGUAGGCGCGCCCCCUACCUCGUGGGUUCCUGUUAUGUGGCUUGACGUAGGGUCCAAGUCUCCUGAGUUGUAUUCGGUGAGAAAAUCACGUUCCCGAAGGUUUCAUUCCGUUUGGACUCUGUUUAAUAUUCCUUUUCUUCGAAACCCUAAAACAGGCAAAAACAGCAAUUCUGGGUUGGGCCUCCGGUUAAUAGGUUAGUCCUAAAAAUAAUAUAAAAGUAAAUAAUAAAGUCCAAUAAUGUCUAAAACAGUAGAUAAUAUAGCAUGGAACAAUAAAAAAUUAUAGAUACGUUGGAGACGUAUCACACAUCGGGAAACACUUCAGGCGAGACGAGACGUAAUACGCGUCUCAAAACGCACAACCCUGGUUCCCUCCAACGUGCUCUUUGAGCUCACGCCUGUUUUUUCCCUUUCUUUUUGUAAUUUUUUUGUCUUUUUUGUUUUUUGUUUUUCAAAAAAGGUUGUGAUUUUAGAAAGCAUUUGAAUUUACAAAAUCUUCCUGGAUUUCAAUAACUAUUUCUAUAUUUCGAAAAAAUAUUCUAAAAUCCAAAAAAUCAUGAAUUUACAAAAAAUGGUUUGAAUUUGAAAAAAUAUUCACAAAUUUGGAAUAUGUUUCUAGAGAUCAAAAAAUAUUUAUGAAUUGGAAAAUAGUUCUCAUAUUUCAAGAAAAUUCAUGAAUUUUAAAAUAUGUUUAUGUAUUUUCAAAAAUCAUGAAUUUGAAAUUGUUUCUGUACUUCAGAAAAUGUGCAAUAAUAUGAUAAAAUGUUUCAAGAUUUCAAAAAUUAUUCUUGUAUGCAAAAAAAUCUUCUUAGAUUUCAAAAUAUAUAUAUAUAUAAUCAUUAAUUUGAAAUUUUUCCAAAUAUAGAAAAUAUUCAUUAAUUAAUAAAAUGUUCCAAAUAUGAAAAAUAUGAGAAGGUUAAAAUUUAAAUAAAAUCUCAUGUUUUAGAAACAUGUUCACGAAAAUAUAAUAAUGAUAAAUGCAAAAGGUAAAAAUGGUAAAAGGUAAUAAAAAUAAAAGGGAAAAACACAGAACAAAAAAUCUGUUACGGGAUGGUCCUAGAACCUUAACCGAAACCGGUCGGGGGAGGAACUUGGAAUGGGCUGCCGCAUAUAGCAGGUCCUCUCCUUGGGGGGUUUGCGUUUGGUCGAAAUUCCCUGCCCUACGCGGGGAAUAGGACCCGCCACUUGCUUGCAAAUAAGAUUGAGGAAAUUUGGCCUCAAUUUCCUUUACCAGUAAUAUCCCGCAACAAAUUGAAAUUUUCCGUCGUAUGACGAAGUGCUUGUUCAUAGCAAAAAGGAAACUAUGUGUUGGGUUGAAGACUUGGACUGGGUUUGAUAGAGUGAGCGCUAAAUGGAGUGUGUGAAAAUAAAACGGCAAAAUGGGAUAGGCUCCGCGUGUGGUUUGCUGAGAAUUGUCAAGCCGGUAAAUGGGCUUGGCAACCCAUUCUCCUGGACAUGAUGUCAAUUGUCAUGUAGCCAAUUCCAGAUGGAGGUCUAUUACAAGCCGAGCCAGAAAAGGGGCAUCAUUUACUUUGCACGGUGUCAUAGCCGGGUUGCAAACUUUCCAAAGAGGGUAUAUCUGGAGAAUUGGUGAUGGUAACAACGUUAAGAUAUGGGCUGAUCCCUGGGUACCUGUUAAUCUGAAUAGAAUGAUAGUAUCUCCAAGGGGCUAGACAAUUAUUACCCAAGUCAAUGAAUGCAUAGAUCCAUUUACCAAUCAGUGGGACGAGGAGCUUAUCAGAUCCACCUUUUGGCCAAUUGGUGUUAGAAGGAUCCUUCAAAUUAUAUUGAAUUACUUGGCAUUUCAUGAUUUCAUCUCAUGGCACUGUUCUAGGACUAGGAUUUUUUUCUCAAAAAAACUGCUUAUCACCUUGAAGGGCAACAUAAAUAUGGUACUAGUUUACUCGGGGAACUCCUUUACUCGGACUAGGACCAUUUGUGACAAAUCUAGUUUCGAGAGCUCUUUGGCAGUUGUAAAUUCCACCCACAGUGCAUAUCUUCUGUUGCGAAGUCUCCAGGGUAUUGUUCCCUUAAAAUCUAUUUUAGCGAAUCCCCAUUAGAUUGAUAGGACAAUGUCUAAUCUGUAAGCAUGGAGGAGAGGAUGUGAAACACCUUUUGUUAGCAUGCAAUAUGGUUGUGCAACUAAGGACUAGACUGGGAAUCUAUGAUCGAAUUGUUGCUGUGGUUAGGGCAGAUCGCUCAGGGUCCGAGACCUCGGAACAUCUAAUCUGUGGUGCGGGAGGAGUUAUGCCAGGCACUCAGAUAACCGGGAUCACAGAAACAAUUGCAGUCGGUUGUUGGUACUUAUGGUGGCUAAGACCCCAAGUAACGCAUGAAGGAAAAGUCUUUCCGUAUGGCGAGGUGCAGUUUCUAUUCUAGCAGUUACAGGAAAUGCUGCAAAUAUAAAAGAUUCUUAAGCAAAUGUUGUUGAUGGUCGCUGGGCAAAACCAGAGCCUAGGUCAGUAAAGCUAAAUGUUGAUGCGUCCUAGUUUGCAGAUGAAGCGGCUGGGGCAAGGGCGGAUGUUCUCAGAGACUGUAACGACAAUUUUUUGAUGAGAAGAAAAUAUAGUCAAUGCCCUACUGAGAGCGGCAAAAUGGCUCCUGAGCUCAACUGCUCCCGCUCGUGCACAGUAAAAUCAAAAUAAAUACUAGAAAAUUUUAAAAAUCUGAUUUUUUUUCUAUGAAAGAUAUUUGAGUGUGCGAGGUCCGUGCCAAUUUUUAGCGUGUUUGGACAUCUGGGUAGUUCUCAGAAAACAACAAUUUGAGAUAUGUGAAAAAGUUUACUAUUUAUGCAUUGUUCGGACCGAUUUUGUUUUUGUUUGUUGAGAGCUACUCAGGUGUCCGAAGGCGGUGAGAAUUGGCACGACCUCACGCACUCAAACAUCUCCCAUGCAAAAAAUGAUUUUUUUUUAUUUUUCCAGUAUUUUUUUGAAUUUACUGUUCGAUGAGUGUGGAUGAGGCCUGGCUCAGAAUUGGAUAUUCGGUGCCCUACUUCACAUCAUUUGCUACGGCAUGAAAAAAAUGGAUGCCUUAAUUUUAUAUCGUCUGUUAUAUAUGGAAGGAAAGAAAUCUGGUGCCCUAAAACUGUUUCCGAAUGCCCUAUUUUAGGUAAUCUGUUGGAGAUGCUCUUACAUCCCUCGGUUUGAUCCUGAUUAAGGUUGGGGCCGGGUUGGACGGUGGGUUUUCCUUUACCUUUACUGCGUCGAACUUGCCUUCGUUAGUUUCAAAUUAUAAAAUUUUGCUUUAGAGCUUUUUUAGGGUACCCUGUAGUGAAUAAAGACCGUCCAUCCGCAAAAUCAAACGGCCAUGACCGACCUGUACUGCUGCAAUCAGGCCAACAACAUGGCAAGCAGUAUUAGUAGCACCGGUCGUUUUCGACCAACCAGUAUACAUGUUCUCAGGGCAUUCUGGGACUUCUACGAUUCACCUCGCACCGACCCACCCCGCCCGUUGUUUUCAUCUAUGGACUCUGGUAGAGUUCCGGUGGCCACCACUGUGCCUCCUCUUUCUUCUCCAGCCCGCCUUCCCUCGCUCAAGAAGCCCGAGUCUCGUUCCUUCCCCGUGCAUGGAUCCGGCGCUCGACUGCGUGGCGUAGGCCUCGGCCCAGACCGUGCUCUUCUUCUCCAAUAGGUCCGAUAGGACGACCAUGAGGCGUUGGCUUGCGCUCCUCCCAUGGCUGGCUGAGCGCUCGUUUUAUCUUGGUUCACAACGGCAGCGAGGAAACCACUUGGCGCCGUUGUCCGUCAAUGCGGAGGCUUGCCAUGUGCAGAAGUUCGUCGUCCCGUCCAUGACGACCAGGCAGGAUGAAGGAGGGCGUUGAGGUAGCCGUGGUCGCCAAGUGUUGGUUCCAUGUAUGUAUGUAUGUGAGGAGAGCAUGGCGGCGAUGGGAGCAAGCAGGCGAUGCCGAUUACAAGCUAUUACUACGAAAUAGGCUGGCAUCUUGGCCCAUCAACAAUCCCGUUUCAACGGUGAGAUUUAAUUAUACUGGUCCGCUCACGCCAAGCAGUAUAGGGUACCAUAAAAGAGCUCUUGCUUUAAUGGAAAAUGGGGCCUCAAACUGCUCACCGGAACAUUUCGAUCGGGUUAGACGCACAUCAGCACAUGCAUGGUACUAGCGGUACCGUUCCUCAACAAGACACGCGUUGGUACGUGCCGCCGUGUGUUCCUCGCCCAGAACCAGAUCCAAGGGAGCACAUGCACCAACGGUAUUGACUGUUGAGCAUUGCACCUUUGCAAGUACAGCGUCGAGUUGCCCCGGCCCCCCCGCACCGGCCGUGCCGUGCCGUGCGUGCCACGGUGACGCCUCCGCGGAGGCGGAGCCAUGCAUGGGAGGCCAAGGUGACCUCUCCAGCCAGCCAGCCAGCUUUGAAUGUUGGGCUGAUCAAACGUAUCGGAAGUGGCACAACAGUGUCUAUAUGGGAGGAUAAAUGGAUCCCAAAUACAUUGACAAAGGCACCUGUUGCACGUCUUGGCGAUGUACAAAUCAGCUGGGUAGCAAACAUUAUUGAUGAUGAGAAUUGGACUUGGAAGUCUGAAGUUAUAAGACAAUCCUUUAUCCCUCCAGAUGCGGAUGCAAUCCUUAAUAUCCCUUUGAGGACUGGAGGGGGAGAUGAUUUCUAUGCCUGGGCGUCUGAGAGGUCCGGGAUUUAUACUGUAAAAUCAGCGUAUCGCUCUCUAAUGAUUCAGAACGAGCAUAAAGCUCUAGAAGAAGGGACGACUACAGAUACUUCGGAGAUGGAUAAACAGUUGUGGUCUCGGUUAUGGAAACUCAAAGUGCUGCCCAAAGUUCGCGUCUUCUGGUGGCGCGUGAUGCGAGGGAUUCUUCCCGUCGAAAGUACACUGAAAUAUCGGCAUAUAUCCAGCGAGAGCAGGUGCAAAAUCUAUUUGAGUUCAGAGGAGGAUAUGAUGCAUGCAUUACUGAACUGUAUCCAUGCGAGAAGGUUUUGAAACGAAGCCCCGCAGUGGCUGCAUGUUAAGCGACCAGACCUGCACCCUCUUACUUGGGUUAAGGAUGUCUUGUGUGAGUCUCUGUUUUCAGAUUCUGAUAGAGCAAAACUUGUGUCUAUCAUGUGGGCUAUUUGGACUUCACGCAACAACAUCACACAUGACAAAGGAGAGUUUGAUCCUGUUCGGUCCAUGAAGCACAUACAGGAAGCUUUAGCGAUUUUAGAGUUACCUCAAGAUCAUGCUCGGAUCUUGCCUGGUCAUGGUUGGAGGCCGUCGGAUGAUGCGUGGAUAAAAAUCAACGUCGACGGUAGCAUUGCCAUGGAGUCCCGCCGAGGAGGGGUUGGAGGGGUAGCACGUUCUCCGUCUGCUUUCAAGGCUGCAUGGUGUAAGCCAUACUAUGGAAUCACAGACCCUCUUCUGGCUGAAGCGUUGGCUCUUCGAGAUGGCGUAAUUUUCGCAAAGCUUCGAGGUUAUGAUCAAGUCAUCUUGGAGACGGAUAGCCAAGAGGUUGUUAACCUCUGGCACUCGCGCCAUGAUUUUUCAAUGGUGGCGCCGAUUCUUGACGAGAUUGGGGAGCAUGCCAGCUCUUUUAAAUUUUUUCUUAUUCAACAUGUGGUGAGAUCAGCAAAUUUUCCUGCUCACCUUUGUGCGAAGCAACCUAACAUGAUGGAUGUAACAGAUUGUUGGUUAGACUCUAUGCCUAGUUUAUUUGUAACUAGCCUCCUGGCAGAUGUUGCCGGGGUGGUUUCUGUUGAAUAAAACUUUCUAAUUUGCCCUGCAAAAAAAAAAAAAAAGCCAGCCAGCCAGCCACCAUAGCGGCGCAUUGAAUUUGGCGUGCGUGGAGCGGGGCCAGAGAUCAAUCCAAUCUACGGGCUGAGGAGCUGGCUGUGGUGCAGUGUGUGGGCGCUGCAUGCGUACGGCGGCGUGCACGAUGGACGGGCAUGGAUCCCCACCCAGCGACGCCGUUCGUAUGCGCGUGCAUGUGGAAUGUCCUGCGUGCCGGAUCGGUUAUUGGGCGUUGAUGAUUGCCCUAUCUGCUCCGGUUUUAUGGCCAGCUGAGCUUCUCCUUUUCCAAGCUUCCGGUGUGCGCGUUCACAGUCUGUCUGCUAACCUAACCGGUACCCGGCCGGCCGGUGCGGUGGCGAUGCUUCCCGACGAUGAUGGGUGAUCCUAACUUGCUAGGCAGGGCUGGAAAUGUCGGCGAGUUAUUAAUUAGCGGCUCAUGUACUGAACUAGUACAACGUACGUGCUCCAGUAACUCGUCAGUUCAGCCGGUCGAUCGGGUACUCUUAUUAUGGGGGAAAAGACUGCAUGCACUAUACGUCGGCAUUGCUCAAAAGUCAAAACCAACUCACCAUGAACGGAAGAUGCACUCACACAAUGUAGGAGCUUCGGUUCACCCAAUCAGAAAGUAACUGAUGUGCAGCUAGCUAUAGCUAGCUACCUCGUCCUUGAGCUAAACACGUACCAUACGUACGUACGUACGUCGAGCUAAGCUAGCUACCUCGUGUUCCCGGCUUUCGAUCAGCUACGCAUAGCAAUACAUACAUGUACUAAUCCACAUCACAUGGCGCUAGCUGGACAGUGCGUGUGCAAACGACCAGUGUGUAUCCACGCCGAUUCUCAACAUCUUUUGUGGUACUGUACGUAUGAUUGUAUUUGGAUACGUCUCCAGAGUCCGUCCAGACCCCAGACUGUGUUGUAUAAAUCCCUCGUGCCCGUGCCUGCCGGUCCUUGUUUACACUCGGAGCGUCGUCGCCGACGCGGUGAAGCUGCAUUGCUUAACCACAUUGCCCGCCGCCUCCAAGUUAAAUGCCGGACCCAACAGCGCGCGAGUGGCAAAAAGGCCCAAUCGGUGAUUAAUCUCCACCGCUGCCCAACUCACCAGCCCUAUAAAUAACACACAAGCAUGACAGUACGCACAUCCCCUCUGUGUGUGCGUGUGUUGUCGCGAUCACAAUCAAUCUCACUCACUCACUCACUCACUCCAUCCAGCAGCGGCUCGCUCACUGUGUCACCGAGAAGAUACUCGGUAGCGCAAUGGCGGGGCGAGCGUGCUGGCGGUCGCUGGCCGUGGUGCUGGCGGUGGUGGGCGCGGCGGCGGCGACGGCCGGGGCGGCGCCGCAGGUGCCCUGCUACUUCGUCUUCGGGGACUCGCUGGUGGACAACGGCAACAACAACGGCAUCGUCUCCCUGGCGCGCGCCAACUACCCGCCCUACGGCGUCGACUUCGCCGGCGGCCCCACCGGACGCUUCUCCAACGGGCUCACCACCGUCGACGUCAUCUGUAAGCAUAAAACUUUCUUCUGCCGUAUUCGUACUUUGCAUGCUUUUACCAAAAUGCACGUACGGCAGCUUGCUUCCACUAUACGUGGCACGUACACAUUGUGAAACUACAUUUCAAUCUUGCUCUGUUUUUGCGCUGGGUGCAGCCAAGCUUCUGGGCUUCGACGACUUCAUCCCCCCCUUCGCCGGCGCGACCAGCGACCAGCUCCUCACCGGCGUCAACUUCGCCUCCGCCGCCGCCGGCAUCCGGGAAGAGACCGGGCAGCAGCUGGUACGUCACGUAGUCUACUACCACCUUCAUGCUACUACGCGCUCUGUUACUACGUAGCAAUCUCGAAUGUCAUGCCGAUUCCUCAAGAGAUGCUUCUGGCUGCAGGGUGGGCGCAUCAGCUUCAGCGGGCAGGUGCAGAACUACCAGAGCGCGGUGGAGCAGCUGGUGAGCAUCCUGGGGGACGAGGACGCGGCGGCGAACCGCCUGAGCCAGUGCAUCUUCACCGUCGGCAUGGGCAGCAACGACUACCUCAACAACUACUUCAUGCCGGCCUUCUACAACACCGGCAGCCGCUACACGCCGGCGCAGUACGCCGACGACCUGGCGGCGCGCUACACGCAGCUCCUGCGCGCGCUCUACAGCUACGGGGCGCGCAAGGUGGCGCUCAUCGGCGUGGGGCAGGUCGGGUGCAGCCCCAACGAGCUGGCCACGCAGAGCGCCAACGGCGUGGCCUGCGUCGACCGGAUCAACGUUGCCGUCCGGAUGUUCAACCAGCGGCUCGUCGGCAUGGUCGACCAGUUCAACCGCCUCCUCCCCGGCGCGCACUUCACCUACAUCAACAUCGACGGCAUCUUCUCCGACAUCCUCCGGGCGCCGGGCGGCCAUGGCCUGAAGGUGACCAACCGGGGCUGCUGCGGCGUGGGGCGGAACAACGGGCAGGUCACCUGCCUGCCGUUCCAGACGCCGUGCCCCAACCGCAACGAGUACCUCUUCUGGGACGCCUUCCACCCCACCGAGGCCGCCAACGUGCUCGUCGGCCAGCGGGCCUACGCCGCCCGGCUCGCCUCCGACGUGCACCCCGUCGACCUCCGCACCCUUGCAAGCCUCUAGCCCGCCCGCUCGUCGGAGGGAGGGGCGACGGCCGCCGCCGUUGGUGUCGGUGAAAAAUAUGCAUAAUUCUGAUUCUACGGUGUACCAGCACAUACAAGAUGAUACGUUUGCGUCUGAAUUUUGCACCAACUGUACCCUCUUACUCAGUUCACAGUGCUUCAGAUGGGCAACCAACCAUGUACUACAAUUGUGCAGCAUUUAAUAUAAUACUGUAUAAACAACUGUCUUUGGCUGAGAAGAAUAGCUUGCAGUUCACAGAAUUCAUUAAUUUGCUGGAAGAAUUUAGUCUGCAAAAACAUAUGAAUAGGAAUGCAACAAGCUUGGGGCUUCGUAUUACCACCACUGCCAAAGUCACAUGAGGAAAAUAACAGAUUUUCCCUUCCAAUGCUAGAAAAUUCUACCUAUGGCAGCACUGAAACUACCAUCUGACCAAGAUGAAAAGGCAGGGCUCUCGACGAUUGAUCGCUCGAAAACAAACAAACAACAAUGGUUUCAACAUGAAAAGUUGGAAAAUAAUAGAACUUCUCUUCCAAUGCUGGAAAACUCCAUCUAUCCCAGCUGAAACUACCAUCUAACCAAGAUGAAAGGGCAGAGAUGCUGCCGAUUGCUUGAGGACAAAUACAAUCUAACCUAAAUGGAGGAGCCAGGAGCAUAUUACAACAACAACAACAGUAGGGAAGGGCUAGCGAUAUUACGGGAGAAACUGAUGCAAGAUGCCAGCUCCGUCCCAUAAGAUCAUUUAUCUGGUUUCAGGUUGGGCUUGGUACGAAGUAUCUUCAUGAUUAGCUAGUCUGAUGACGACGAAAAGACUCAUUAACCCUGGGAACGGUUAAACUCUGCAGCUUCAG